UUCGCCCUUAGAGUUUGAUCCUGGCUCAAGACGAACGCUGGCGGCGCGCCUAACACAUGCAAGUCGAACGAGCGAGAGAGAGCUUGCUUUCUUGAGCGAGUGGCGAACGGGUGAGUAACGCGUGAGGAACCUGCCUCAAAGAGGGGAACAACAGUUGGAAACGACUGCUAAUACCGCAUAAGCCCACGACCCGGCAUCGGGUAGAGGGAAAAGGAGCAAUCCGCUUUGAGAUGGCCUCGCGUCCGAUUAGCUAGUUGGUGAGGUAACGGCCCACCAAGGCGACGAUCGGUAGCCGGACUGAGAGGUUGAACGGCCACAUUGGGACUGAGACACGGCCCAGACUCCUACGGGAGGCAGCAGUGGGGAAUAUUGCACAAUGGGGGAAACCCUGAUGCAGCGACGCCGCGUGGAGGAAGAAGGUCUUCGGAUUGUAAACUCCUGUUGUUGAGGAAGAUAAUGACGGUACUCAACAAGGAAGUGACGGCUAACUACGUGCCAGCAGCCGCGGUAAAACGUAGGUCACAAGCGUUGUCCGGAAUUACUGGGUGUAAAGGGAGCGCAGGCGGGAAGACAAGUUGGAAGUGAAAUCCAUGGGCUCAACCCAUGAACUGCUUUCAAAACUGUUUUUCUUGAGUAGUGCAGAGGUAGGCGGAAUUCCCGGUGUAGCGGUGGAAUGCGUAGAUAUCGGGAGGAACACCAGUGGCGAAGGCGGCCUACUGGGCACCAACUGACGCUGAGGCUCGAAAGUGUGGGUAGCAAACAGGAUUAGAUACCCUGGUAGUCCACACUGUAAAC
rnacentral:rRNA from 1 species